UACGGAGGGUGCAAGCGUUAUCCGGAUUUACUGGGUUUAAAGGGUGUGUAGGCGGGCUUUUAAGUCAGUGGUGAAAUCUCCGGGCUCAACCUGGAAACUGCCAUUGAUACUAUUAGUCUUGAAUUUUGUUGAGGUAGGCGGAAUAAGUCAUGUAGCGGUGAAAUGCAUAGAUAUCAGGAGGAACACCUGUGGUGUAGACAGCUUACUGGACCACUUCUGACGCUGAGACACGAAAGCGUGGGUAGCAAACAGG
rnacentral:rRNA from 1 species